GAUAUGCACUGCAAAGCAGACCCCUUCUCCGCGAUGCACCGUUGUCAAGACACGAUGGUCAUCUUUCCCUGCCUCUUCCUGGGGGAUGCUCUAAAAACAAAGAGGGGUUCCGAGAAGAAAUCGAAGUCAGGGAGAGAGACAGCAGCGCAGACUUCCAGGUGGGCCCCCGGCAGAGUGCAGCUCUGCUCUCAGCUCUGGAGGCUCCUUGCCUAGACUCCCGACUCCCCAUUGAGGAUCACGCAGCCAGCAACCUGGCCAGGGGGUCAGCAAAGAGCAAAAAAUGAGGGGGAAAGAACAAAAGGAAAGCAAAUGCCAAAGCUGAGGAGAAAGGAAAAGAGAAAUCCAAACACGGGAAAAGAAAUUAAAGAAAGAAAGUUGAAAUGAUGUUACAGAAGAAAAGGGAGAAGGGAGAAAAAAAUAGAGAAAAGAGGGAAUUAUUUUAAUAAAAUUUGAAUUUAAUUUAUGCCAUGUCUUUAGCUUGAAAAACUAUUCUGAGAUUUUUUUUGCAGGCUUUUUUUUUAAAGAUAAAAUUCUAAAUAGAAAACUCCUCCCUAUCUGCGGAUUAAUAAUUAGGGAUAAUUUGUAACUUUUCACAAGGAAACUUUAGACCUGGCUUGGACCUGUGUUUAGGACAGGAGAGCCGAGGAGGGAGAGCUGUGUUUUUCGCUAAUCAUAUAUUUAGCGUUGCGGGGGUGAGGGGGGGCGUUUAAAAAUACUCCUGGGAUAAAAUAUAUUUUCCUAAGUAAUUUCCAAGCGCAGGAAAGCCGCGCCGAGGGCAUCAGGCCUCCGCGGGUCUCGGCGAGCGGGCCGGAAAGCCUCGGUCCUUUUCGGGAGGAGUGGAACCCGGUCCAUACGCCGUCUUCGCCCAGCCAGCCUGCCUCGCGGCCCGCUGCCACCGCUCUUGUUCUCCUUUUUUGCGGAUUCCGCCGGGGGUCCGCCGAGUCCUGGCUGCCCGCGGGCAGCCACUUUGAAACCCAAAGGUUUCUGCACCGCCAAGCAGAGGUCGGAGGGAGAGAGCCGCAGCGCGGGCCCGCGGGCCAGUGGACUGCAGGGCACGGGGGUGUGAACCAGCUCGGGGGGGUGUUUGUGAACGGCCGGCCCCUACCCGACGUGGUGAGGCAGCGCAUCGUGGAGCUGGCCCACCAGGGUGUGCGGCCCUGUGACAUCUCCCGGCAGCUGCGGGUCAGCCACGGCUGUGUCAGCAAAAUCCUGGGCAGGU
rnacentral:sRNA from 1 species